rnacentral:rRNA from 1 species
CGGCCGCGUCGACCCUGGCUCAGGAUGAACGCUGGCGGUCUGCUUAACACAUGCAAGUCGACACGAGAGACUCGGUGAAAUUAUAGUACCUGUGAAGAUGCACGGUUACCCGCGACAGGACGGAAAGACCCCAUGGAGCUUUACUGCAGUUUGAUAUUGAGUGUUUGUACAGCUUGUACAGGAUAGGUAGGAGCCGAUGAAACCAGGACGCUAGUCUUGGUGGAGGCGUUGGUGGGAUACUACCCUUGCUGUAUGACCACUCUAACCCACAGCCAUGAUCUGGCUGGGAGACAGUGUCUGACGGGCAGUUUGACUGGGGCGGUCGCCUCGUCGACGCGGCCCG